GUGAGUGUCCUGAGUGGGGGUCAAGAUUUGUUUGAGUGUAUGAUCUAAUCUGAAUACACACGUGUGUGUGCAUGUGUGUAUUUUUCUCCCUGUUGGAUUGCUCAGCCUCCACAGCCUGUUCUUCUCCACUGUGAUACACCAGGUGUCCUUCAGCAGGUGUAGUGAAACAAAGCAGAGGCUUUGACGUCACCCACGCUGGCCCUCGUGUGACUCACGGCCCAGCCCUGAGCCAGAAUCUGCUCCUGUUAUUACGGGUGAUAAUUAUGAUUUGGCAGAAUGUAUCCGAAUGUCAUACCACUCCAGGUAGAUUAGAGUCUCUGGAGGGAGGGGCUAG
rnacentral:lncRNA from 1 species